rnacentral:rRNA from 1 species
CGCGUAGGCGGAUGUUACAGUCAGGCGUGAAACUUCCUGGGCUCAACCUGGGGGCUGCGUUUGAUACGUGAUGUCUGGAGUUCGGAAGAGGGUCGUGGAAUUCCCAGUGUAGAGGUGAAAUUCGUAGAUAUUGGGAAGAACACCGGUGGCGAAGGCGGCGACCUGGUCCGAUACUGACGCUGAGGGCGCGAAAGCGUGGGGAGCAAACAGGAUUAGAUACCCUGGUAGUCCACGCUGUAAACGAUGUGCGCUGGAUGUUGGGUGACAUAGUCAUUCAGUGUCGUAGCUAACGCGAUAAGCGCACCGCCUGGGGAGUACGGCCGCAAGGUUGAA